UGGGGAAUUUUGGACAAUGGGCGAAAGCCUGAUCCAGCAAUGCCGCGUGUGUGAAGAAGGCCUUCGGGUUGUAAAGCACUUUUGUCCGGAAAGAAAUCCUUGGCUCUAAUACAGUCGGGGGAUGACGGUACCGGAAGAAUAAGCACCGGCUAACUACGUGCCAGCAGCCGCGGUAAUACGUAGGGUGCAAGCGUUAAUCGGAAUUACUGGGCGUAAAGCGUGCGCAGGCGGUUUGCUAAGACCGAUGUGAAAUCCCCGGGCUCAACCUGGGAACUGCAUUGGUGACUGGCAGGCUAGAGUAUGGCAGAGGGGGGUAGAAUUCCACGUGUAGCAGUGAAAUGCGUAGAGAUGUGGAGGAAUACCGAUGGCGAAGGCAGCCCCCUGGGCCAAUACUGACGCUCAUGCACGAAAGCGUGGGGGAGCAAACAGGAUUAGAUACCCUGGUAGUCCACGCCCUAAACGAUGUCAACUAGUUGUUGGGGAUUCAUUUCCUUAGUAACGUAGCUAACGCGUGAAGUUGACCGCCUGGGGGAGUACGGUCGCAAGAUUAAAACUCAAAUGAAUUGACGGGGUCAUAGCUGUUUCCU
rnacentral:rRNA from 1 species